rnacentral:rRNA from 1 species
UACCAGACUCCUACGGGAGGCAGCAGUGAGGAAUAUUGGUCAAUGGGCGCGAGCCUGAACCAGCCAAGUCGCGUGAGGGAUGACGGCCCUACGGGUUGUAAACCUCUUUUGUCGGGGAGCAAAUUCCGCCACGUGUGGCGGAGUCGAGAGUACCCGAAGAAAAAGCAUCGGCUAACUCCGUGCCAGCAGCCGCGGUAAUACGGAGGAUGCGAGCGUUAUCCGGAUUUAUUGGGUUUAAAGGGUGCGUAGGCGGAGUGUCAAGUCAGCGGUAAAAUUUCGGGGCUCAACCCCGUCGUGCCGUUGAAACUGACGCCCUUGAGUGAGUGAGAAGUAAGCGGAAUGCGUGGUGUAGCGGUGAAAUGCAUAGAUAUCACGCAGGACUCCGAUUGCGAAGGCAGCAUACCGGCGCGCAACUGACGCUCAUGCACGAAAGCGUGGGUAUCGAACAGGAUUAGAUACCCGUGUA